UUGAGGGGCUGAAUGAAGAAAGCUACAGGGGAUGGUGGGUUGGGGCUAGGUGGGAGAAUCUGGUGUUGGUGGAAAGAAUACCAACCUGAGAGCCAGAGAGAUGGUUCAGGUUCAGCCCUGUGGCUCCUUCAGUUUCUGUGUCCGUGAAAGGAGUGCAGUGAUUCCUGCCUCACAGGGUCGGGUUGACACUGGAAAACACCUGGAUUUGUGGGCACCAUUCUGGUAGCCGCCCAGCCCAACAAGGUGUCUCUGUCUUUAGAGUCUGCAAUGACAGUUCACAGGCUGGUUCGUGUGCACCCUUCUUUCCAUCUCUCCUCACAUUCAUCCUCAAAAAGACUUCACUGCAUUUACUGAACACUUGCCAGGCAACACAGUUCUCAACACUUCACCUGGAAAUCUCAUUUAAGCCUUAAAACAACCCUAUGAUGAGGGUUGUUCCGAUUGAUGAUGCUUUGGUCAUGGGCCGUGAAGAGCAGGGGGGAUUUGCUUUGUUGACCCUGAAGCAAAAGCUGUGCAAGGAGCGUCACAUGUGAGAAACAAUGUUGUCUACAAAGAUCCCAUGAGGUGGGAAGUCCUCUCCUCAGGCUGAUGAGAAGGCCCAGGUCCAGAGGGGUGAGCGGGUCUGGGGUCUGCAUGUGGCUGGUUCUUUCUGUAGCACACAGAGGGUCUCCAUGUCUUUCCAGGGUUUACAUGUGUACCCCAGUUUGUGUUUGAUUCCUAGCUCGGACUUGACCAAAUGGACUGCUGUCAAGGAUACGGUUAGUCAUUACAGACUCCAGCUGUGUCACUCAAACAGCACAGGGAGACAGACCCGUGGUCUGUCUGGGACAGCUCGGGCUGUGUUUGGAGGCCCAGAAGCCACCCCACUGUGCUUAUGCAGCUUGGCCUAAACCCUGAGUACCAUAUUUGCCCUUUGUCCAUUCGUGCUCAUGCAUCCUAACAUAGAAGAGUGAGUGGGGUCGUUUAUAGCUUCCAAAAUGAUUUCAUUUUCUGAGCCUUUGGUCUUCCAAUCUGGCAGAAAAUCAACAAACUUUGCCUGAGAUGAAAUGGCUCUGAGGCUUCCAGAAACGCCUCAGAAAGCUGCCCGCACUGGGCCAGCCAUACAUUGAAAUGUGAUGACUCUUCUCUGUUUGUUGCAGGUUUUAUCAAGUAGAGCUCUAAAUUGGUUGAUUCAAAGCAAUGGAGUAGUUCUGUCUUACUUCCCCCGUGUCCAGUGUGUGAUAAGAGUGUGGAGGGAAAGGCUGCACCACAGUGACUGGAUAUUGGCCAGAUAUACUCAUCAGAAGGCUCUUGUCAAGAGCUGGAGCCACGCCCAGGCUGAGGAAUGACCUUGAGUCAGCAGGGCCCAGCUUACCUGUUCCUCUCUGACUGCUCCCGCCACCGUGGGGACCAUCACUGAUUCUUUUCCUGGGAGAUGAGGGAUGCCAGAAAUUGCCAAGUAGUGGUGAGAACGCAUAGUUUCUCAGGAUGCCUUCAGGAAGGAGAAGGAGGUAGGAGCUUCCUUUAGGCCAGGACUGGAUGGCAUUGAGGUGACAGCAGGGGAUGCUGAGAGCAGGGGAGCCACACUGAGGUGCUGGACACAACCUUAUCCGAGUGGCCAGGUGGCCCUCGAUUCAGGGUGGGUGUCGGGGCCCACACUGUGGGAGGAGGAUCCAGUGCCUGUGGGGUCGUCAGCCAGCCUUCCCUGAGUCAGCCCCAGGGCUUCCUUCGUAGGCUGUGCCCUGUGCAUGUGCCACUGCAAUGUGCAAAUUUCCCCUGUGGGAUUCCGCCGA